rnacentral:rRNA from 1 species
UACGGGGGGGGUAAGCGUUGUUCGGAAUUACUGGGCGUAAAGGGCUCGUAGGCGGCCAACUAAGUCAUACGUGAAAUCCCUCAGCUUAACUGGGGAACUGCGUCUGAUACUGGAUGGCUUGGAUUCGGGAGAGGAAUGCGGAAUUCCAGGUGUAGCGGUGAAAUGCGUAGAUAUCUGGAGGAACACCGGUGGCGAAGGCGGCAUUCUGGACCGACAUUGACGCUGGAGGAGCGAAAGCCAGGGGAGCAAAGCGGG